rnacentral:rRNA from 1 species
UAAAGAAAGCGUAAUAGCUCACUGGUCGAGUCGGCCUGCGCGGAAGAUGUAACGGGGCUAAACCAUGCACCGAAGCUGCGGCAGCGACACUGUGUGUUGUUGGGUAGGGGAGCGUUCUGUAAGCCUGUGAAGGUGUGUCGUGAGGCAUGCUGGAGGUAUCAGAAGUGCGAAUGCUGACAUAAGUAACGAUAAAGCGGGUGAAAAGCCCGCUCGCCGGAAGACCAAGGGUUCCUGUCCAACGUUAAUCGGGGCAGGGUGAGUCGACCCCUAAGACGAGGCCGAAAGGCGUAGUCGAUGGGAAACAGGUUAAUAUUCCUGUACUUGGUGUUACUGCGAAGGGGGGACGGAGAAGGCUAUGUUGGCCGGGCGACGGUUGUCCCGGUUUAAGCGUGUAGGUGUGUGUUCCAGGUAAAUCCGGUUCACUUUAACACUGAGGCGUGAUGACGAGGCACUACGGUGCUGAAGCAACAAAUGCCCUGCUUCCAGGAAAAGCCUCUAAGCAUCAGGUAACAUCAAAUCGUACCCCAAACCGACACAGGUGGUCAGGUAGAGAAUACCAAGGCGCUUGAGAGAACUCGGGUGAAGGAACUAGGCAAAAUGGUGCCGUAACUUCGGGAGAAGGCACGCUGACACGUAGGUGAAGUGAUUUACUCAUGGAGCUGAAGUCAGUCGAAGAUACCAGCUGGCUGCAACUGUUUAUUAAAAACACAGCACUGUGCAAACACGAAAGUGGACGUAUACGGUGUGACGCCUGCCCGGUGCCGGAAGGUUAAUUGAUGGGGUCAGCGCAAGCGAAGCUCCUGAUCGAAGCCCCGGUAAACGGCGGCCGUAACUAUAACGGUCCUAAGGUAGCGAAAUUCCUUGUCGGGUAAGUUCCGACCUGCACGAAUGGCGUAAUGAUGGCCAGGCUGUCUCCACCCGAGACUCAGUGAAAUUGAACUCGCUGUGAAGAUGCAGUGUACCCGCGGCAAGACGGAAAGACCCCGUGAACCUUUACUAUAGCUUGACACUGAACAUUGAGCCUUGAUGUGUAGGAUAGGUGGGAGGCUUUGAAGCGUGGACGCCAGUCUGCGUGGAGCCGACCUUGAAAUACCACCCUUUAAUGUUUGAUGUUCUAACGUGGACCCGUAAUCCGGGUUGCGGACAGUGUCUGGUGGGUAGUUUGACUGGGGCGGUCUCCUCCUAAAGAGUAACGGAGGAGCACGAAGGUUGGCUAAUCCUGGUCGGACAUCAGGAGGUUAGUGCAAUGGCAUAAGCCAGCUUGACUGCGAGCGUGACGGCGCGAGCAGGUGCGAAAGCAGGUCAUAGUGAUCCGGUGGUUCUGAAUGGAAGGGCCAUCGCUCAACGGAUAAAAGGUACUCCGGGGAUAACAGGCUGAUACCGCCCAAGAGUUCAUAUCGACGGCGGUGUUUGGCACCUCGAUGUCGGCUCAUCACAUCCUGGGGCUGAAGUAGGUCCCAAGGGUAUGGCUGUUCGCCAUUUAAAGUGGUACGCGAGCUGGGUUUAGAACGUCGUGAGACAGUUCGGUCCCUAUCUGCCGUGGGCGCUGGAGAACUGAGGGGGGCUGCUCCUAGUACGAGAGGACCGGAGUGGACGCAUCACUGGUGUUCGGGUUGUCAUGCCAAUGGCACUGCCCGGUAGCUAAAUGCGGAAGAGAUAAGUGCUGAAAGCAUCUAAGCACGAAACUUGCCCCGAGAUGAGUUCUCCCUGAGACUUUAAGUCUCCUGAAGGAACGUUGAAGACGACGACGUUGAUAGGCCGGGUGUGUAAGCGCAGCGAUGCGUUGAGCUAACCGGUACUAAUGAACCGUGAGGCUUAACCUU